UUGUUUAGAAAACAAAAAAACAACCACAAAAUAGGCAGUAUGGCUGGGUGGAGUAAUCUAAACACCUCGCUGCAGUUUAUUAUGACGUAUGGAGAACAUGGCGUGGGAAGUAAAGAUAAGAGAUACUUUCUGUUUGCCAGUUGAUAAGAGCCCGCAGGGGAUCCCCUUUUUAGUUUUGCUAUUUGUACCGUGUUCAGCUAAGAUCUUAUGGGGUCAUCACUGUUCUAGAAGGGAUAAACAACUCUUAUUCAACCAUGAGCAGCAACUGAUGAGGUCAGCAGCCCACUGUUUGUAGUGACCAUGCAAGACAUGAGCAGGCAAAGCAUGUUUACAGCCCAAAUCACAAGUGAAGUCAGACCACAAGCCUAUGACACAAAGCAAGAUAUUGUGGGUUAUGGCAUUCACUUUUAGUCGAAUUGGACAAAUUUGCUUCAUGUGCAUGUUUUUGUACUCCUCCGGACGGCACUUGGUUUAAAUAAAGGGGUUUAAGAAAUGACAAGUCUGUGUACUUUCAGCCCGAUGUUAAACAGAGAGUGCCACGUAGAGGAG